rnacentral:rRNA from 1 species
AGAGUUUGAUCCUGGCUCAGGAUGAACGUUGGCGGUGUGCCUAAUACAUGCAAGUCGAACGGUGAUCUUUUUGUAGUAAUACGAAUUGGUCAUAGUGGCGAACGGGUGAGUAACGCGUUGGUGAUCUGCCUCGAAGUGUGGAAUAACGUUCCGAAAGGAACGCUAAUACCGCAUGUGCUCUCAGUCUUUAGAAAGUUGAGAGUAAAGGAUUUAUUCGCUUCGAGAGGAGCCUGCGUCCCAUCAGCUAGUUGGUAGGGUAAUAGCCUACCAAGGCUUUGACGGGUAGGGGACCUGAGAGGGUGGCCCCCCACAAUGGAACUGAAACACGGUCCAUACACCUACGGGUGGCAGCAGUAGGGAAUAUUAGAAAUGGACGAAAGUCUGAUCUAGCGACACCGCGUGUGCGAAGAAGGCCUUCGGGUUGUAAAGCACUUUUUGGAAGGAAUAGGAAGGAAGGUACUUCCAGAAUAAGUCUCGGCUAACUACGUGCCAGCAGCCGCGGUAACACGUAGGAGGCAAACGUUAUCCGGAUUUACUGGGCGUAAAGCGCGUGUAGGUGGUUUUGUAAGUAGGGCGUGAAAGCUCCCGGCUCAACUGGGAGAGGCCGUUCUAAACUGCAGAACUAGAGGAUGGUAGAGGGAGGUGGAAUUCCAGGUGUAGCGGUGGAAUGCGCAGAUAUCUGGAGGAACACCAGUGGCGAAAGCGGCCUCCUGGACCAUUCCUGACACUCAGACGCGAAAGCUAGGGUAGCAAACGGGAUUAGAGACCCCGGUAGUCCUAGCCCUAAACGAUGUAGACUAGACGUCGGUGGUGUAAUAGCUGUCGGUGUCCAAGCUAACGCGAUAAGUCUACCGCCUGGGGACUACGGCCGCAAGGUUAAAACUCAAAGGAAUUGACGGGUCCCCGCACAAGCAGCGGAGCGUGUGGUUUAAUUCGUUGCUACACGAAGAACCUUACCUGGGUUUGACAUAGCAGUGGUAGGGAAGAGAAAUCGGACCGACCCUUCGGGGAGCUGUUAC